AGAGUUUGAUCAUGGCUCAGGAUGAACGCUAGCGGCAGGCCUAAUACAUGCAAGUCGAACGGCAAGAUUUGGUAGCAAUACUGAAUCCUAGAGUGGCGCACGGGUGAGUAACGCGUACAUGACAUACCUAUAAGCGAGGGAUAGCAUUGGGAAACUGGUAGUAACCCCUCAUGUGAUUAUUUGUAAUAAAGGUAAAUAAUUAAAACUACGGUGCUUAUAGAUUGGCGUGCGUCUGAUUAGCUAGUUGGCGAGGUAACGGCUCACCAAGGCGACGAUCAGUAGGGGGCGUGAGAGCGUGAACCCCCACACGGGUACUGAGACACGGACCCGACUCCUACGGGAGGCAGCAGUAAGGAAUAUUGGUCAAUGGAGGGAACUCUGGACCAGCCAUGCCGCGUGCAGGAUGAAAGCCCUCUGGGUUGUAAACUGCUUUUAACAGGGAAGAAAAUGCUAUACGCGAUAUAGUACUGACGGUACCUGAGGAAUAAGCACCGGCUAACUCCGUGCCAGCAGCCGCGGUAAUACGGAGGGUGCAAGCGUUAUCCGGAAUCACUGGGUUUAAAGGGUGCGUAGGCGGUUUUAUAAGUCAGUGGUAAAAGGUUGUAGCUCAACUAUAAGAGGUCCAUUGAUACUGUAAGACUUGAAUCGAGUUGAGGUUGGCGGAAUGAGACAUGUAGCGGUGAAAUGCUUAGAUAUGUCAUAGAACACCAAUUGCGAAGGCAGCUGACUAGACUUAGAUUGACGCUGAGGCACGAAAGUGUGGGUAGCGAACAGGAUUAGAUACCCCGGUAGU
rnacentral:rRNA from 1 species